AUUGAACGCUGGCGGCAGGCCUAACACAUGCAAGUCGAACGAGCGGCGUACGGGUGAGUAAUGUCUGGGAAACUGCCUGAUGGCGGGGGAUGACUACUGUAAACGGAAGCUAAUACCGCAUACCAUCGGAUUUGCCCAGAUGGUAUUGGCUUGUGUGUGGGGUAACGGCUCACUAAGGCGACGAUCCCUAGCUGGUCGGAGAGGAUGACCAGCCACACGGGAACUGAGACACGGUCCAGACUACGAAGGUAGGCAGCAUGGGGGAAUAUUGUACAAUGGGUGCAAGCCUGAUGCAGCCAUGACGAGUGUAUGAAGAAGGCCCUCGGGUGGGAAAGUACUUUCAGCGGGGAUGCGUUACCCGCAGAAGAAGCACCGGCUAACUUCGUGCCAGCAGCCGCGGUAAUUC
rnacentral:rRNA from 1 species